rnacentral:rRNA from 1 species
UACGUAGGGGGCGAGCGUUGUCCGGAGUUACUGGGCGUAAAGCGCGCGCAGGCGGUCCUUUAAGUCUGAUGUGAAAGCCCACGGCUCAACCGUGGAGGGUCAUUGGAAACUGGGGGACUUGAGUGCAGAAGAGGAAAGUGGAAUUCCACGUGUAGCGGUGAAAUGCGUAGAGAUGUGGAGGAACACCAGUGGCGAAGGCGACUUUCUGGUCUGUAACUGACGCUGAGGCGCGAAAGCGUGGGGAGCAAACAGG